CCCUUAGAUGUCCUGGGCCGCACGCGCGCUACACUGACAUGUUCAACAAGCCUCCUAGUUCGACAGGAUUUGGGAAAUCUUUGAACGCAUGUCGUGAUGGGGAUAGAUCAUUGCAAUUAUUGAUCUUGAACGAGGAAUUCCUAGUAAACGCGAGUCAUCAGCUCGCAUUGAUUACGUCCCUGCCCUUUGUACACACCGCCCGUCGCACCUACCGAUUGAAUGUUUCGGUGAAGAUUCCGGAUAGGACUUUUUUGAUUUAUUUCAAUUUUGUCUUAAAAGCUAUCUAAACCUCAACAUUUAGAGGAAGGUGAAGUCGUAACA
rnacentral:rRNA from 1 species